UUGUUUUUUUUCUUCAUUUACUUUUGUUAUUUUGUUUUCUUAAAAAAAUUAUACAUGAUUUUUUAUUUGGUUAUUGGGUUGCAAGUGAGUAUUUUCUUUGUUCUCUUGACUAAAGACUCGUGAUAUGAUAUGAGUGAUUUGUUGUGUUUUCUUAGUAUGAUAAAUAUGACUAAAUUCUGAGUUAUGUAUCAUUUGUAAUUGAUCAAUACCCUUUGUGAGAUUUUGAGCCUAAUAAUGGAUAACAUAAAAAAAAUUCAUCUAUUUAUUUCUUGUGUGAUUUCACUCAUGUUUCUUAGUCUUUAAAACUUGAUUUGACUCUUUUGAAAACUGUUUGUUUACUUAUGCACACUAAUAUGAUAAAUGUAAGUUGUUUCUGUUUUAUUUUUUUAGCCACUUAGCCAAAAAAACGACCUUAAAAAUAUCAUCCCUUGUUUGAAAAUCCCCUUGAGCCUAUUUAUCUCAUUCUUUAUUUGAAAGUCAUUGCAAGUCAAAAAGUGAAAAACAAUAUUAUGACCCUAUUUGAAAGGUUAAAAACAUCUUGUUUGGAGUUGUGUAAGGUUGAAUUAGUAUAGCUGUGAUAUUUCAAAAGUUGGCAGAAAAAAAUAGAAAGAAUAGGAAAAGAAAAGAAAAAAAAUGAAAAAAAGGAUG
rnacentral:lncRNA from 1 species